rnacentral:rRNA from 1 species
AUGAACGCUGGCGGCGUGUCUAAGGCAUGCAAGUCGAACGGUCGCCUUCGGGCGACAGUGGCAAACGGGUGAGUAACACAUUGGUAACCUACCUCGAAGUUCGGGAUAACUUUUCGAAAGAAUUGCUAAUACCGGAUGUGCUGGUUCUACUUAAGUAGAAUUAGUAAAGGCGCAAGUCGCUUCGAGAGGGGCCUAUGGCCUAUCAGCUAGUUGGUGCGGUAAAAGCGUACCAAGGCUAUGACGGGUAGCGGGCGUGAGAGCGCGACCUGCCUCACUGGGACUGAGAUACUGCCCAGACUCCUACGGGAGGCUGCAGUCGAGAAUCUUCCCCAAUGGACGAAAGUCUGAGGGAGCGACGCCGCGUGGUGGAUGAAGGCCUUCGGGUCGUAAACAUCUUUUCUCAGGGACGAAUCAAUGACGGUACCUGAGGAAUAAGGGGCUGCUAAUCACGU